UACCCGCUGAACUUAAGCAUAUCAAUAAGCGGAGG
rnacentral:rRNA from 3 species